rnacentral:rRNA from 1 species
CGGGGAGGUAGUGACGAAAAAUAACGAUACGGGACUCAUCCGAGGCCCCGUAAUCGGAAUGAGUACACUUUAAAUCCUUUAACAAGGACCAAUUGGAGGGCAAGUCUGGUGCCAGCAGCCGCGGUAAUUCCAGCUCCAAUAGCGUAUAUUAAAGUUGUUGCGGUUAAAAAGCUCGUAGUUGAAUCUGUGUGUCACAGUGUCGGUUCACCGCUCGCGGUGCUUAACUGGCAUUAUGUGGUACGUCCUACCGGUGGGCUUAGCUCCUUAGGGCGGUCCAACUAAUCUCCCAUCGCGGUGCUCUUCACUGAGUGUCGAGGUGGGCCGGUACGUUUACUUUGAACAAAUUAGAGUGCUCAAAGCAGGCUACCUUCGCCUGAAUACUGCGUGCAUGGAAUAAUGGAAUAGGACCUCGGUUCUAUUUUGUUGGUUUUCGGAACCCCGAGGUAAUGAUUAAUAGGGACAGAUGGGGGCAUUCGUAUUGCGACGUUAGAGGUGAAAUUCUUGGAUCGUCGCAAGACGGACUAAAGCGAAAGCAUUUGCCAAAAAUGUUUUCAUUAAUCAAGAACGAAAGUUAGAGGUUCGAAGGCGAUCAGAUACCGCCCUAGUUCUAACCAUAAACGAUGCCAGCUAGCGAUCCGCCGAAGUUCCUCCGAUGACUCGGCGGGCAGCUUCCGGGAAACCAAAGCUUUUGGGUUCCGGGGGAAGUAUGGUUGCAAAGCUGAAACUUAAAGGAAUUGACGGAAGGGCACCACCAGGAGUGGAGCCUGCGGCUUAAUUUGACUC